GACUAACGCUGGCGGCGUGCCUAACACAUGCAAGUCGAACGGACGUAGCAAUACGUUAGUGGCAGACGGGUGAGUAACACGUAGAUAACGUACCCCUCCGCUGGGGAUAGCCACUGGAAACGGUGGGUAAAACCGAAUAGUCUCUAAUUCGGGCAUCUGAGUUAGAGUAAAACUUUGGUGUGGAGGGAUCGGUUUGCGACCUAUCAGCUAGUUGGUGAGGUAACGGCUCACCAAGGCUCCGACGGGUAACCGGUCUGAGAGGACGGUCGG
rnacentral:rRNA from 1 species